CAGAUGUUAAUGUAACGGUUCUUUACAUUUUUUUUUUCUUUUCUUUUGGUGUCAGUGGUAUAAUAAGUUGUGAAUUAGGUAAAGUUGGAAGAUUGUACGUAGUUGUGAGAGAAUAAAAUAAGUAUAUAAAUCGAUAAUUUUGUUGAUUGAUGCAUGGUACGUGUAUGAAUUUCUCACCGAGUUGCUUGAAAUCGGUCUUCAUUUCAGUACAGCGAGUACUGUUUAUUUACUUUGGCUAUGAUAAAAUGCUAGAGGUUUGACACAAAUGUAUGUUAGGGUGAUUAGCGAUGGAUAAUAAAAUUCGACCAAUAUCACAAUUACUGAUAUGUUUGAUAUAUGUACUCUCACCGUAUCGAUGUAAAAAUCGAUGCAGUACCUUUCCUUUUGCGAGAGGGUAGAAAGGUAGGUCUCUUCGUCUAUAAAAGACGGUACAAGAGACAAGGUUCGAGUGCCACUCUUUCCUCUUUCGGGAGGGUAGAAAGGGUAGGAUGUCUAGCCCGUAGGUUUCCAAUCGAGCUGAGUAUAGUGCCCGUUUAACGUAGCGGAGUUUUUACUCGUAAGUCUUGAGGAGCAGGGGAGAUAGAUCUGAAGCUGUGGUGGAGGAUGACUCGAACUAUCCUGUUUUGGUGAACAGGUGUCCUGUUUUGGUGAACAGGUUUUAUAUGAGAGAGUACAAAGAGUCAGUGUGUAUCUUCUGUAUUUAUUGAUUUUGGUGUACUUAAUUGAAUACGUCAUGUUAACCAUAUCACUUUGUUUAUUAGUAAUUGAUGUGUUGAUGUUGUAUUUGAAUAUGGUAGCUUAC
rnacentral:lncRNA from 1 species